GGUGUGUGCUACGAUCGAACAGGAGAAAGGAAAAAGGGGGUGUGAACCCUAAACCUCAAGAAAUCAUCAAAUUGAAAAGGGAAUCAAGGGCUGAUUGUAUGCAUGAACCAAGGAUGAUGAUCCCUUAAGCAUUUCUAACAUCAACGUAGGAGCCAUGUCAACAUGGACACGAGCAUGGAAGGGCAAUGGGUCAACGGUAAAUACGGAAGCUAUGCAUGAACUCGGACGCACGAGGUAGCGUUAGUUAAUUGAGCAUGGUGAUGAUUGAAGUUUGAUAUGGUUUUGGUUGUAUGAAAUCGGUUAUUUUAGCUAAGUAGACCGAACGGGACAAUAUAAAGUUGUAAUGAUAUGACAGAUUGAUGUAAUGCUACGGUAUUGUAACCGGGUAAUGGGUAGAAUUGCACAUAAGUGCGCCAACCGAGAAUGGGGACUUAGGUUAAUGGUCAAAAGACUUAGCUUUUGACCUUAAAUAAAAGAAUGGUUUAACAAAAUACGAACAGGUCGAAUAAAUGUGCAUAAACUUCAUAAUGCUAAUGAAAUGCGUAAAGAUUAAGGACCCGGGUAAGGGCGUUUAGCCCAUAAUGUAAGGACAAGUCUUACGGACAACUAGAAAUAAUUGUGAGCAAUUUGAUUGAGGAAUGUCCGAGAUACGCAAGUUUUAAUAAUAAAAAUAUGAAUGGGUUGAAUAGUCGAAACGAGUAUGUAGAGCCGAAGGCUUUAAGUUAAGAUUUUUCCUUGUUUGGAUGUUAUAUUACAAGCUCAUAUGUUAGAAAAUCGAUUUACCAACGCAUAGGAAAAAGAAUCAUGUUAAUCGGAUUCGUAGAUCAAAAGUUAUGCAAAUUGUAAGUCGAAAAUACCCUUGGAAUUCAUAGCUGGGAAUUUACAGCAGCAAAUUUGAAGUUUCUGUCGAAAUAGAGCUGUCGCGCCCCGCGAGCGCCAGUCAGCUGGCAAAUUUUGGUUUUCUUGUUUGAUUUUGCAUCCGGACUCGAUGUUUUAAUGAUUUUCGAUGUCCCUUAACUUAUAUUAAAGCCGGUUUGAAACACGAGUGAUGUUAUGAGCCUCCGGAUAAUGAAAGUAUGUAUUUUUCUUCGUGUUAGAGAAGAAAGAUUAUAAGUAAUCGAGACUAGAAAUGAGUGGGCAUGCAAUAUGGUAAGUAUAAAACUUAAAUCACGGAAGUUGCGAUUAUGAUAAGAAAUGCGAGAUUAAGUGAAUAAAAGUAGUAAGCGAGGAAUUAGGAACGUAUACGUUUGUGGAUGCGAGAUGUUAUAAGUAUAUGAAGGAAUGGUUUGGACUGGUUUCAUUAUGUUCUAGCAUUAAUGUUUGCUAAUCGUGUGUUUGAGAUUGGAAUGAAAUGCAGGUACAUGAACACCGGGUUCAUGAAGUAUCGAAGUCGAAUUCGGAACAAGAAAAUACAAAAGGAUAGUUGAAUGAAUUAAAGUUCCUACUGUUAAAUGUUAUUCAAUAUUGGACUAUAUGAGAAUCAUGUCGUAUGAUAUUGUUAAUGACUAAUGGUUAUGAUGUAUGCGAUGUCCACAGGUAUUGCACGGAUUACCGCUACUACUACCGAAGAUAAGCAAGCGUUGAUCGAGUCACGGAGCAAGGGUUGUACGGAAAUAUGUAUUGUCUUGAAGUGUUAAUUUAAUGUGGUUAUUGUAAAUCCCUUUUGUAAAUGUUUAUCAUUUGUAUUUGAGCCUUCAAGUAAGUAAUGUGUCUAAAUAAGAAAGAAAUUUUUGG
rnacentral:lncRNA from 1 species